UUGGAAAGUGAUGGGGGAAUGCUAGUCCCACAAAGCAAGUCAUUAAUCUGGAGGUCUUAUCCCCUUCCAUCACCGUCCAGUCGCUGGGAUGGACAGUAAUGACCCCUGUUAACAAUAUUGUUCCAAAUGUUACAAAAUAAAAAUGAAAAAAAAGAAAGACAAGCAUUAGAUUAUUACUAGGGAAAAUUACAAAAAACUCCUCAAAAGAUAUUAUCUAUACAACUUACCCCCAUCGAAACCUUUUCUCUCAUUUUUUUUCCCACAAUAAGCUUUCUAUGCAAAAUUCCCCCAAAAUAAAAAGUACUUUUUUUAGAUGAAAAUGCCGUUCCCAUAUAAAAAAAUCAAUUUUGUGUGAUUUGACGCCUCACAAGUUCUACUGCCGGAGCGCCUUUUGCCACUGUCAGAGAGAUGUGUCUCACAAGUUCUAUUGCCGGAGCAUCCUUUGCAACUGUCGAAGCGGUAUUGCUGGAGCGCCAUUGGCUACUACCGAAACGCUGUGUCGCACAGGUUCUACUAACGGAGAGAGAGACGUGUGAGAGAGAGGCGUGUGCAAUAGUAUUAAGGGUAGUUUAGUCUUUUUAUUUUAUUUUAUUUAGGUUGGGGGUUGUUUGCAUAAAAAAUUUGUUAUAGGAAAAAAACUGAGAAAAAAAGUUAGAUUGAGAGUAAGUUGCACAAAUAGUGUAGUCUUCGGGUUUUUUUUGUAAUUUUUCCUUAUUGGGUUCAAAUCCUAUUGCCACUGCCCCAUUCAUACUAAUACUAAUACUAAUACUGCCACUACCACUGCCCUUGUGUCCUCCGAAAGGUUACCGACUCUUAUUGAAUUCUCUUCGUUUCUCCUCCUCAUUUCAGUUCCAG
rnacentral:lncRNA from 1 species